rnacentral:ribozyme from 1 species
UCUGAUGUUUUGCCUUUUUUUUAUUUUUAUUUCGUUUUUUCCCCCUCCUCCCUUUGAGUUGGAUGGGAGGAGGAGAAGGAGGUGAUGCCGAAGUAAAGCAGUAAA